rnacentral:rRNA from 1 species
AUUGAACGCUGGCGGCAUGCUUUACACAUGCAAGUCGAGCGGCAGCGCGGGGGCAACCCUGGCGGCGAGCGGCGAACGGGUGAGUAAUGCAUCGGAACGUAUCCUCGAGUGGGGGAUAACCCAGCGAAAGUUGGGCUAAUACCGCAUGAGCUCUGAGGAGGAAAGCGGGGGACCUGCGAGGGCCUCGCGCUGGAGGAGCGGCCAAUGUCCGAUUAGCUAGUUGGUGGGGUAAAGGCUUACCAAGGCGACGAUCGGUAGCUGGUCUGAGAGGAUGAUCAGCCACACUGGGACUGAGACACGGCCCAGACUCCUACGGGAGGCAGCAGUGGGGAAUUUUGGACAAUGGGGGCAACCCUGAUCCAGCCAUGCCGCGUGAGUGAAGAAGGCCUUCGGGUUGUAAAGCUCUUUCGGACGGAACGAAAUGGGCGGGACUAAUACUCCUGUCUGAUGACGGUACCGUAAGAAGAAGCACCGGCUAACUACGUG